CAUGGCCGAAACAGAGAAGCU
rnacentral:miRNA from 1 species